GACGAACGCUGGCGGCGUGCUUAACACAUGCAAGUCGAGCGGUAAGGCCCUUUCGGGGGUACACGAGCGGCGAACGGGUGAGUAACACGUGGGUGACCUGCCCUCAGCUCUGGGAUAAGCCUGGGAAACUGGGUCUAAUACUGGAUAUGACUCCACGGUGCAUGUCGUGGGGUGGAAAGCCUUGUGCGGCUGAGGAUGGGCCCGCGGCCUAUCAGCUUGUUGGUGGGGUGAGGCCUACCAAGGCGACGACGGGUAGCCGGCCUGAGAGGGCGACCGGCCACACUGGGACUGAGACACGGCCCAGACUCCUACGGGAGGCAGCAGUGGGGAAUCUUGCGCAAUGGGCGAAAGCCU
rnacentral:rRNA from 1 species